rnacentral:rRNA from 1 species
AAAUUGAAGAGUUUGAUCAUGGCUCAGAUUGAACGCUGGCGGCAGGCCUAACACAUGCAAGUCGAGCGGAAACGAGUUAUCAGAACCUUCGGGGAACGAUAACGGCGUCGAGCGGCGGACGGGUGAGUAAUGCCUAGGAAAUUGCCCUGAUGUGGGGGAUAACCAUUGGAAACGAUGGCUAAUACCGCAUGAUGCCUACGGGCCAAAGAGGGGGACCUUCGGGCCUCUCGC